rnacentral:lncRNA from 1 species
GCCACAUCAACAAAAAUGAUAAAUUAAGUAUGCUUAGUAGUGCCUAUGCUUUUGGGCCUUCAUCCUUCUCCACUUGAGCCUUAUUAAGUAUGCCUGCUACCAUAUGUUGGAGGGUAUCCACUGACUGUUUGGUCCUACUCCUGGUCAUAGGUCCCUAUAUUUGGGAAGUUUUAGGAUUCUCAUCAUUCCUUCCUUCUCGGAAAGCAUUUUCCCUCAAAUG